UUCCGUAGGUGAACCUGCGGAAGGAUCAUUACAGUAUUUGGUCGACGGGGGGGUUUCUUUGAUGCUGGCCCCACUAGUGGGGCAUGUGCGCGCCCCCUCGCCGUUACAACACAUACAUACGUCCCUGUGAACCUUAUUGGGGGGCGAGCGUCCCCGGAAGCGCGCCUCCCUUUUUAUAUAAAUCAAAGCCUGUUUAAAACGCAUGUCUGAGCCCCACGGGGUGAAUAAAGUUAAUACAACUUUCAACAACGGAUCUCUUGGCUUUCGCAUCGAUGAAGGACGCCGCGAAAGUGCGAAACGUAAUGUGAAUUGCAGAAUUCAGUGAAUCAUCGAAUCUUUGAACGCAUCUUGCGCUCCUUGGUAUUCCGAGGAGCAUGCCUGUUUGAGUGUCGUGAACCUCUCUCGACCCGACUCCCUGGAGAGUUUGGGUUGGAUUUGGACGCUUGCGGUCCCCAUCGCUCGUCUUUAAAUGCAUCAGCUGGCCCCCCCAUCAAGGUUGGACCGAUGACGGUGUGAUAAUUAACAUGUGUGACGCCGUUCUGGACCAACUUUUCAUAUGUGGGGUCGCUUCUAACCGUCCCUUUGGGACAAAAUGACAAGCCUUUUGACCUCAAAUCAGGUAGGACUACCCGCUGAACUUAAGCAUAU
rnacentral:rRNA from 1 species